rnacentral:rRNA from 1 species
GAUGAACGCUGGCGGCGUGCCUAAUACAUGCAAGUCGAGCGAAAAGACGAGGAGCUUGCUCCUCUGACGUUAGCGGCGGACGGGUGAGUAACACGUGGAUAACCUACCUAUAAGACUGGGAUAACUUCGGGAAACCGGAGAUCAUACCGGAUAAUAUAUUGAACCGCAUGGUUCAAUAGUGAAAGACGGUUUUGCUGUCACUUAUAGAUGGAUCCGCGCCGCAUUAGCUAGUUGGUAAGGUAACGGCUUACCAAGGCAACGAUGCGUAGCCGACCUGAGAGGGUGAUCGGCCACACUGGAACUGAGACACGGUCCAGACUCCUACGGGAGGCAGCAGUAGGGAAUCUUCCGCAAUGGGCGAAAGCCUGACGGAGCAACGCCGCGUGAGUGAUGAAGGUCUUCGGAUCGUAAAACGCUGUUAUUAGGGAAGAACAAAUGUGUAAGUAACUAUGCACGUCUUGACGGUACCUAAUCAGAAAGCCACGGCUAACUACGUG